GCAAAGGCCUUGGGGCUGUGAGGGAACAUGGCAAGAAAACCUUGAAAGGUAAUAAUUACCUAGACAAUUCCACCAUGUGUCAUCUGUAUGCCUUUGAACAACUUAACUGAGUUUCCCCAAGUCUCAGUUUCCUUGCCAAGGUGAACAAGCCAACUAGAAGAUAACUUAAGAGAUGGAGAAUGGAAGCUUAAAGAAGAUAAGAAAUUUGUCCCAGUUUUCACAUCUAGUAAACGACCUAAAUUAUGUGACCAGAAGUCAAGAGAAAAUGUGGAAACUCUCCCACCCUGUGAGUGAAUGAGAUUGUGUGAAAAGACAGAUGAUAAAGAGCAGCAAACAUUUUCU